AAAUCGAUGAAAAGUACACUCGUAAGAUUAUGUAACUCGAUCGCAAUUGAUAUGAGACACCACAGCUAACCGAUAAGAUCAAACCACUGAAGAUGACCAUGAACUGUGGUCCAAAGUAUUUGGCAAUCAAUAAAGCUACCUGAGCUAUUCCGA